rnacentral:rRNA from 1 species
AGUGAACGCUGGCGGUAGGCCUAACACAUGCAAGUCGAACGGCAGCACAGUAAUAGCUUGCUCUUACGGGUGGCGAGUGGCGGACGGGUGAGGAAUACAUCGGAAUCUACUUUUUCGUGGGGGAUAACGUAGGGAAACUUACGCUAAUACCGCAUACGACCUACGGGUGAAAGCAUGGGAUCUUCGGCUCUUGCGCGAUUGAAUGAGCCGAUGUCGGAUUAGCUAGUUGGCGGGGUAAAGGCCCACCAAGGCGACGAUCCGUAGCUGGUCUGAGAGGAUGAUCAGCCACACUGGAACUGAGACACGGUCCAGACUCCUACGGGAGGCAGCAGUGGGGAAUAUUGGACAAAGGGCGAAAGCCUGAUCCAGCCAUGCCGCGUGGGUGAAGAAGGCCUUCGGGUUGUAAAGCCCUUUUGCUGGGAAAGAAAAGCAGCAGGUUAAUACCCCGCUGUUCUGACGGUACCCAAAGAAUAAGCACCGGCUAACUUCGUG